UGUCCUUUUGAUUUUUAUUUAAGGUCUAGCCUGCCCAAUGAAUAUUUUGAAUGGCCGCGGUAUUUUAACUGUGCUAAGGUAGCAUAAUCAUUUGUCUUUUAAUUGAAGACUAGUAUGAAUGGCUGGAUGAAACAUAAUCUUUUUUUAAUUUAAUUAGCUUGAAUUUAAUUUUUUAGUCAAAAAGCUAAAAUGUUAUUGGAGGACGAGAAGACCCUAUAGAUCUUUAUAUAAAGUAUAUUCGUAUUAUUUAGUUAUGUAAUUCGUGUGUAAUAUAUAAUUAUAUUUAGUUGGGGUGACUUUAG
rnacentral:rRNA from 1 species